AAAAUAUUUAUAUGUCACUGUGCCAGUACUCUCAGCCAAAGCUACCUAUCGAAAGAUUAUCAAGGCUAGAAGGAAAACACAUAAGUUAUGUUCUGGACUGUGCAAACACUCCUGAGCACAGCCAUAAACUAUAGCUGGAAUGUUCACUGAUAUCCAGCCACCCAGGGCUUUUGACCUUAUUGGAACAGCACAGGUCAGUGGAUAUGCCCAGAGGUAGGGGUGCCUCCAACUGUAAGAGGCAAAUGCAGACUGGCAAUGGUGCUUCAUGAAGACACCUGAAGAAAGGUUGCUAAAUUGUUUCUGUCAUCUCAGGGAACACCUUGAUGCUGAAAGGUUGAGAGAGCAUGAAGUCAUCUGAUGUGUCUGAAAAGAUGAAUACAACAUAUUAAUAUUGCAGCUGUCACCCCAAGAAGAGUGAGAAUACUUACUAGUGGUGAGAGACUGGAGAUCAUUGUGAAUCCUGUAGAUCAAGCCCUUGCUCUCUGACUUCAUUGCAUGUCCCCACAGAGUACUGUUACAAUCUGGGAUAUCUCCUGAUAUGAGAGAGAAAAAGAAAAAAAAAAAUCAACAAUGUGGAAGCAUCUGCUGCUAUCAAUGUCCACAACAUGUAUCUCUGGCCCUUGAGGAUUUUUUUUGCACAUCCCUGCUUGCAACCGUCCUGCCUUUUCAAAAGCUGGGGACAUCUUCUGAGCCAAAAAGUCCCUCCCUUUGGAGUAUAAUCCUGCAAAUAUGCUUCGUCCCAAAAUGCCAUUCCAAAGGAGAAAGUUGGAACAGCAAGGGCUGGCACCAGUCACCACCAGCAGCAUCCUCUAUUACAGCAUUAAUAGGAAUUAAAUUUGCUGAAGCCAUGAAGUGAGCCAGCUCUUUACUGUAAGUUGGGGAGAGACACAGGGAAAGGAAAAAGUGCAAAAGGAAGGAGAAAAGGAAGGAAGAGGAGGAGGAAUAGAAUAGCAGGAAGGAGGGGAGGGAAAUGAGGAGACGGAAGAGGUAAAAGGGAUUUCCAUGGGCUCAGUCAUUCUCCACUUUUCUUUCCAUUAAUUUGAUGGGGUGAACAGGUGAAUUUCACUGUAGCUAAGGCCUUGCUCUCCGACUCACUGUGGAAAUUUACAGUUUCCCACCUUGCACAUCUGCC
rnacentral:lncRNA from 1 species